rnacentral:lncRNA from 1 species
UCUGUAUAUGGGAUGGAUUCCCAGAUGGGGCAGUCUACUGGAUGGCUUUUCCUUCAGUCCCUGUUCCACACUUUGUCCUGGAUUUCUUUAGACUGACGCCAUUCUGGGUUAAAAAUUUGGAGAUGAGGUAACAUAAGCAGAUAAAGCAAGUACAUCAGGAAUGUGCACAUGCUCCAGCUAAGGUCACAAUGGAGAGGCUUGGAGCUGCUUAGUAAGAGGGAGACUGACACCUGGACCAGGUAUGGCAGGAAAAAUAUCUUCUAACUCUUCUGCCCUACUUCUUCCCUUCAUCUUGAAUAUUGCUGA